rnacentral:rRNA from 1 species
UAAAAACUUAAAAUUUAAAAGACUUGACGGUACUUCACAACAACCUAGAGGAGCCUGUCUAAUAACCGAUAACCCACGAUUAACCCAACCUCCCCUAGCCACACAGUCUAUAUACCGCCGUCGCCAGUUCACCUCAUGAGAGAAACAUAGUGAACUAAAUAGUACAAAAACUAAUACGACAGGUCGAGGUGUAACUUAUGAGGAGGACUCAGAUGGGCUACAUUUUCUAAAUCAGAAAACACGAACUAACCAUGAAAACAGAAACUGAAGGAGGAUUUAGUAGUAAGAUAAGAACAUAAUACUUAACUGAACUCACUGCAAUGAAGUACGC